CAGUGCUAUAAACGGCAAGAAUCUCCAACAGUCCUGUUACAACAAACGUACCUGUCCUGUGUUCUGUUCCAUAGGCAGCCCUCUCUUUCCAGCUUUCCAAGGGAAUAGCAAUAAUGCCAUCAAAAAUAAUCUCUGAGAAGGUAUCCGGGAUCUGGAGGUUCUCAGUGUCUCGGCUGAAGCGGGAGACAGUGGUGUCCCGUAAAUCCUGAGUGAGAGACAGCUCUGCCAGCCCGACCUACGGCAACAGCAGAAGGGGAGGUGAAUUUUAGAGUUAAUGGUCAAACAUCCAAGUAAGAACUUGUGGACGUUGGAUUAGAAUUUCACUAAAUGUGAACAUUAAUAUGUGGGAGAAGUGACAAUUGCACGUUGUUGAAAAUUCCCAUCCUAGAACAAAAGCCUGAAGAAAUAUGGAUCAUUGUCCCCAGUCUACACGGCAGGAAACUGGAAACUCUCAAAGAUGAGCUAUUCAAGCUUAGAGAGAAACCGCUUUCAAGUGGCAGAACCUGGAUUAAAAUUCAGCUCUCCUGCAUUAAAGUCUAGGUCUGCUGGCCCCGAGCUCUCCCUCUCUUUCAUCCCACAGCAUCCCCUAUAUAAUAAAAAAUUGAAAAGGUAAAAAUCAAGAUUUAAAUAUGCUUUCGCUCAGCAACAAAAACAAUGAAAAAAACCUAAAAAGAAUAAUCACAAUUAGGUACUAUUGACGUCAGUUUAUAAAAAUAUUUGUUUCAUGCAAAUAUUUAAUGAAAACUUGUCAUUUGUAAUAGUAAAUGAUCUAAGUGGGAAGUUUGUCUUCAUUAUUAUUAAAACAUAGUUUAAAUGACGUUAAUAAUUCUAGCAAAAGUAGAUUUAUAUUAGGCUUAUAGCAUAAAGACAAAAUACAUUCAGAUUUGCCACAUUUAAUGUAGAAUAUACCUUCUUUUGAUUUAUUUUUCAGUUCUUAGCGGUCAAGAGAAAACAAAUAUUCUUUCCUCUGUUCUCUCUCAAUCUAGUCCCUUGUAAUUGAUUUAACAUCCCCAACUUUCAAAUACAUUUUGUACUCUUGGUUAUGUCUAUACUUGAAAAGGAAAUACAAAACCAUAGUAAAAUUUUUUAAAAAAAAUGUUUGUUAAUGUCUGAAUAGUGGGAACACUGGUACAAGUCUGUGAGGGUGGGGCGUCAGAGUAUCUACACCUCUCUCCCUCCCUUCACUUGUGGUUGGUGGCACUGAUGUUUCCUUCCAAGGGGGAACUGCCUCUGGAUAAGGCACGUGGACCCCCUCCGUCCCCCCCAUUAAGCUAUAGUCUGAGCAGUGUUGGAGAUGGCCCCUUUAAGAACACAAACCCAUUGGAAAGUCCCAUCAGAGGAUAUUCCCAUGCCAACCAAUGGUGUUCAGCCCUCUGGUAAAUCAGAAGAAUAGAGCCAAUGUUUAUUUUUCCUUCUGCCAUGGAAAUGUGCCGGGAGUAAUAGGGAAAACAAAAUUUCAUGUGUUUAAUUCUCCUUAAUUUUAUUCUCUGGAGUUAUUUCCCAGAAAUAUAUAUCUAUGGAAAGCUCACUCUUCAUUGCUGUGCUGUCCAACAUGGUAGCCACAAGCUACAUGUAGCUAAUGACCACUUGAAAUUUGGCUAGUGCUACGCAGGAACUGAAUUUUUUAUCUUAUCCAGUUUAAAUUAAUUUAAAUUUUAAAGCAGAAGCGGUGUAAAACAUAGUUCUGUUAAACACAACUAUAUUGUUUUAAUAAGUUCUAUAUUUCGUUUUAGCUGUUGCAUCAUAUAAGAUAUUAUUUAAGUUAAUUUUUUUUUUAACUUUUUUAGCGUGGCUACUAGGAAACAUAAAAUUACAUAUUCGGCUGACAUUAUACUUCUAUUGGAUGGUGUAUUCUAGAGGAAGUAGGGCAAGAAUUCUGUCAGCCUGCACAAGAUCAAAGCUUCCCCACUUACUACCUGUUUGGCUAUGGCAAUUUACUCAGCUUCUCCGGGCCUUGGUUUUCGUAUCUACCAAAUGGGCAUGAAAAUCCAAGAGCCCACUGUGUAGGGUUAUGAGGAUUAAAUACUUUAAGAUAUGCAAAGUGUUUAAAAUAAUGCCUGGCAUAAAGUAAGGAUUAUGUAUGCACUUGUAGGUUAAAAAUAAAAGCAAAUUAUUCCUCCCUAGAAGACGUAGAUAACAUUCUUCUAAUAGAUGAUCAAUGAGAGUAGAUGAUUGACUAUAAUUAAUCUAAUGCUCUAAACUGACUAUCUGUAAUAGAUGAGGAAUUAUGAUAUCUAGACUUUUAAAAUUAAGUCCCAUAAAAAGGAUGCUCACACAGAAAUGAACCAAAACAUACAUUCUUGCAAAAGUUUAGUACCACCUUGAGAUAUAUGUUUAAACUCUUUGCCCGAGGCAAAGAAAGACCCAGAGAGAGUGUUCUCGUCCCUGUGGCUCCUGUGCUCCCCUCUCCUCCAAGACUGUUGGGGCUGGCAGAGCACAGACCAGCUCUCCUUAGCUAGCACUUGCUGUGGAUGACGACCAACCGCGACCACUUCAGAGAUUUAAACAUUAGCAUGUACCUAUAUUACUGUAAUAACCAGCUGUGUCAUUUAGACAUAUAAGUAAACUAUCUGAAAAAUAGUCACUAAAAUGUAUGUAAAAGCUUAAUCAAAGAAAUAAAGUUUAAUGAAAGAUUUUAUUAAAAUUUUAUCCAGGCAGAGGAAUCGAUAGAUGAAUCUUCUCAUCUAUAAAAUUGCAUACCCUUUAAUGUCUU